UCGGCUUAGAGUUUGAUCAUGGCUCAGAUUGAACGCUGGCGGCAGGCUUAACACAUGCAAGUCGAACGGUAAAGUAGCUUGCUACUUACGAGUGGCGGACGGGUGAGUAACGUAUGGGAAUUUACCGAAUGGAGGGGGACAACAGUUGGAAACGGCUGCUAAUACCGCAUAACGUCGAGAGACCAAAGGGUUUCGACUUGCCAUUUGAUGAGCCCAUAUGAGAUUAGCUAGUUGGUGUGGUAAUGGCUCACCAAGGCGACGAUCUCUAGCUGGUUUGAGAGGAUGACCAGCCACACUGGGACUGAGACACGGCCCAGACUCCUACGGGAGGCAGCAGUGGGGAAUAUUGCACAAUGGGGGGAACCCUGAUGCAGCCAUGCCGCGUGUAUGAAGAAGGCCUUAGGGUUGUAAAGUACUUUCGUGGAGGAGGAAGGGUUUACGUAAUCGUGGACAUUGACGUUACUCCAAGAAGAAGCACCGGCUAACUCCGUGCCAGCAGCCGCGGUAUACGGAGGGUGCGAGCGUUAAUCGGAAUGACUGGGCGUAAGGGCAUGUAGGCGGAUGAUUAAGUUAGAUGUGAAUCCCUGGGCUUAACCUAGGAUUGCAUUAAACUGGUU
rnacentral:rRNA from 1 species